AGCCUUUGGAAAGGAUUAAAGGUUAUACCUGCCCAAUGUUAUAUUAAUGGCCGCGGUACUUUGACCGUGCUAAGGUAGCACAAUCAAUUGGCCCUUAAUUAGGGUCAGGUAUGAAUGGAGUUACGGGGCUUAGCUGUCUCUAGACUAUUUAAUUGAAGUUGCUAUAUAGGUGAAAAAGCCUGUAUUAAGAAAAAAGACGAGAAGACCCUUAGAGUUUUACUUAAAAAAGAGUUAUUUCUUCACUAGUUUUGUUGGGGCAACAUAGGAGAAGAACUAAACCUCCUAAAGGAUAUAAACCGAUGUUUUUAAAUGUGAAUAAACUACCUUAGGGAUAACAGCAUAAUUUUAAAAAUAAGUUUGUGACCUCGAUGUUGGACUAGGAAACUUAAAGGCUAGCCGCCUUUUGGUAAGGUUCUGUUCGAACUAUAAUUCCU
rnacentral:rRNA from 1 species